GAUUUUAUUCCAGCCCACUCAUGCAACAUUACACAAGGCUUUGGCACAUCAAACCGAGGACACUACCAGCAAGCAAGUUCACUCUUAUGGAUGUAAACAUGUCUAUUCUACCAUUGGAUUAAGACGGAGAUUUUUUAAGAGAGUUGGCAUCAUGUGGUAAUUUGACGCAUCUCCCUCAGUAAGAUUGAAUAUUUGUCAACAGUCACUAAUAGAGUCCAAUCACUGCUGAUCAUCGCCGUUGUCUGGACUUAUGGGUUCCAGAUCUUGAACUUUCCACAUCAUUGGUGGUGUCUGGGUUAUAUCGAUGUUGUGACCUCUCUACUACUCUGGUAAAUGGGAUGUUGAUGUCUUACAGAGUACAAGUGUGCCAACAUCACACAAGUAUCCGGCCUGAUUUCAACAACCAGAUCAUCAUCUUGUAUAUGUGUGUGGCAUCAUUCCAAAUACUUUCAUUCUCACCAGCUGUUGUGAUAAUAUUAUUCAUUGGAGACAUAUUUCUCCCCUUUUAAUGUAUAACUUGUAGGCUUCCUGUGCCUCAUGAUGAUCUCUACAUUUUCUGAUGCAGUCUGUGACUGGCCUGUCUUUGUGCAUUAUCUACCACUUUGACAACUGUUAGAUCUGGCCUUUUUGUCUGGUCAAUUUUGCACAAUAUUUUUUGUUCAU